CAGUAGCCGCGGUAAUACGAAGGGUGCAAGCGUUAAUCGGAAUUACUGGGCGUAAAGCGUGCGUAGGUGGUGGUUUAAGUCCGUUGUGAAAGCCCUGGGCUCAACCUGGGAAUUGCAGUGGAUACUGGGUCACUAGAGUGUGGUAGAGGAUAGUGGAAUUUCCGGUGUAGCAGUGAAAUGCGUAGAGAUCGGAAGGAACAUCUGUGGCGAAGGCGACUAUCUGGGCCAACACUGACACUGAGGCACGAAAGCGUGGGGAGCAAACAGGAUUAGAUACCCGUGUAGUCCCUGUCUCUUAUAC
rnacentral:rRNA from 1 species